UGGUAAUUGGCUCGGCCUUACAACGACAAACAAGUUUGACCUCAAAUCAGGUAGGAUUACCCGCUGAACUUAAGCAUAUCAAUAAGCGGAGGAAAAGAAACCAACAGGGAUUGCCUUAGUAGCGGCGAGUGAAGCGGCAAUAGCUCAAAUUUGAAAUCUGGCGUCUUCGGCGUCCGAGUUGUAAUUUGAAGAAGGUAUCUUUGGAAUUGGCUCUUGUCUAUGUUCCUUGGAACAGGACGUCACAGAGGGUGAGAAUCCCGUGCGAUGAGAUGCCCAAUUCCGUGUAAAGUUCCUUCGACGAGUCGAGUUGUUUGGGAAUGCAGCUCUAAGUGGGUGGUAAAUUCCAUCUAAAGCUAAAUAUUGGCGAGAGACCGAUAGCGAACAAGUACUGUGAAGGAAAGAUGAAAAGAACUUUGAAAAGAGAGUGAAAAAGUACGUGAAAUUGUUGAAAGGGAAGGGCUUGAGGUCAGACUUGGUUUACCAGGCCAGCAUCAGUUUGGACGGCAGGAUAAUAGCUAAGGAAUGUGGCACCACCUCGGUGGUGUGUUAUAGUCUUGGUUGAUACUGCCUGUCUAGACUGAGGACUGCGUCUUGACUAGGAUGCUGC
rnacentral:rRNA from 1 species